UGAAUGGACUAAGACACGUACAUGUC
rnacentral:piRNA from 1 species